rnacentral:rRNA from 1 species
AUUGAACGCUGGCGGAAUGCUUUACACAUGCAAGUCGAACGGUAGAGGGGGCAACCCCUCGAGAGUGGCGAACGGGUGAGUAAUAUAUCGGAACGUGCCCAGUCGUGGGGGAUAACGUAGCGAAAGUUACGCUAAUACCGCAUACGAUCUAAGGAUGAAAGCGGGGGACCGCAAGACCUCGCGCGAUUGGAGCGGCCGAUAUCAGAUUAGGUAGUUGGUGGGGUAAAGGCUCACCAAGCCAACGAUCUGUAGCUGGUCUGAGAGGACGACCAACCACACUGGAACGGAGACACGGUCCAGACUCCUACGGGAGGCAGCAGUGGGGAAUUUUGGACAAUGGACGCAAGUCUGAUCCAGCCAUUCCGCGUGCAGGAUGGAGGCCCUCGGGUUGUAAACUGCUUUUGUACGGAACGAAAAGGUCUCUCUUAAUACGGGGGACUCAUGACGGUACCGUAAGAAUAAGCACCGGCUAACUACGUGCCAGCAGCCGCCGUAA